CGAACGCUGGCGGCGUGCUUAACACAUGCAAGUCGAACGGAAAGGCCCUGCUUUUGUGGGGUGCUCGAGUGGCGAACGGGUGAGUAACACGUGAGUAACCUGCCCUUGACUUUGGGAUAACUUCAGGAAACUGGGGCUAAUACCGGAUAGGAGCUCCUGCUGCAUGGUGGGGGUUGGAAAGUUUCGGCGGUUGGGGAUGGACUCGCGGCUUAUCAGCUUGUUGGUGGGGUAGUGGCUUACCAAGGCUUUGACGGGUAGCCGGCCUGAGAGGGUGACCGGCCACGUUGGGACUGAGAUACGGCCCAGACUCCUACGGGAGGCAGCAGUGGGGAAUAUUGCACAAUGGGCGGAAGCCUGAUGCAGCAACGCCGCGUGCGGGAUGACGGCCUUCGGGUUGUAAACCGCUUUCGCCUGUGACGAAGCGUGAGUGACGGUAAUGGGUAAAGAAGCACCGGCUAACUACGUGCCAGCAGCCGCGGUGAUACGUAGGGUGCGAGCGUUGUCCGGAUUUAUUGGGCGUAAAGGGCUCGUAGGUGGUUGAUCGCGUCGGAAGUGUAAUCUUGGGGCUUAACCCUGAGCGUGCUUUCGAUACGGGUUGACUUGAGGAAGGUAGGGGAGAAUGGAAUUCCUGGUGGAGCGGUGGAAUGCGCAGAUAUCAGGAGGAACACCAGUGGCGAAGGCGGUUCUCUGGGCCUUUCCUGACGCUGAGGAGCGAAAGCGUGGGGAGCGAACAGGCUUAGAUACCCUGGUAGUCCACGCUGUAAACGGUGGGUACUAGGUGUGGGGUCCAUUCCACGGGUUCCGUGCCGUAGCUAACGCUUUAAGUACCCCGCCUGGGGAGUACGGCCGCAAGGCUAAAACUCAAAGGAAUUGACGGGGCCCCGCACAAGCGGCGGAGCAUGCGGAUUAAUUCGAUGCAACGCGUAGAACCUUACCUGGGUUUGACAUGGAUCGGGAGUGCUCAGAGAUGGGUGUGCCUCUUUUGGGGUCGGUUCACAGGUGGUGCAUGGCUGUCGUCAGCUCGUGUCGUGAGAUGUUGGGUUAAGUCCCGCAACGAGCGCAACCCUUGUUCACUGUUGCCAGCACGUUAUGGUGGGGACUCAGUGGAGACCGCCGGGGUCAACUCGGAGGAAGGUGGGGAUGACGUCAAGUCAUCAUGCCCCUUAUGUCCAGGGCUUCACGCAUGCUACAAUGGCUGGUACAGAGAGUGGCGAGCCUGUGAGGGUGAGCGAAUCUCGGAAAGCCGGUCUCAGUUCGGAUUGGGGUCUGCAACUCGACCUCAUGAAGUCGGAGUCGCUAGUAAUCGCAGAUCAGCAACGCUGCGGUGAAUACGUUCCCGGGGCUUGUACACACCGCCCGUCAAGUCAUGAAAGUUGGUAACACCCGAAGCCGGUGGCCUAACCGUUGUGGGGGAGCCGUCGAAGGUGGGACUGGU
rnacentral:rRNA from 1 species